GACGAACGCUGGCGGCGUGCUUAACACAUGCAAGUCGAACGGAAAGGCCCUGCUUUUGUGGGGUGCUCGAGUGGCGAACGGGUGAGUAACACGUGAGUAACCUGCCCUUGACUUUGGGAUAACUUCAGGAAACUGGGGCUAAUACCGGAUAGGAGCUCCUGCUGCAUGGUGGGGGUUGGAAAGUUUCGGCGGUUGGGGAUGGACUCGCGGCUUAUCAGCUUGUUGGUGGGGUAGUGGCUUACCAAGGCUUUGACGGGUAGCCGGCCUGAGAGGGUGACCGGCCACAUUGGGACUGAGAUACGGCCCAGACUCCUCCGGGAGGCAGAAGUGGGGAAUAUUGCACAAUGGGCGGAAGCCUGAUGCAGCAACGCCGCGUGCGGGAUGACGGCCUUCGGGUUGUAACCCGCUUUCGCCUGUGACGAAGCGUGAGUGACGGUAAUGGGUAAAGAAGCACCGGCUAACUACGUG
rnacentral:rRNA from 1 species